rnacentral:rRNA from 1 species
UUAAGUGACUAAGCGUACAAGGUGGAUGCCUUGGCAAUCAGAGGCGACGAAGGACGUGCUAAUCUGCGAAAAGCUUGGAUGAGUCGAUAAGAGGCGUUUAAUCCAAGAUGUCCGAAUGGGGAAACCCAGUAGAUGAAGAAUCUACUAUCACUUACUGAAUCCAUAGGUAAGUGAGGCAAACCGGGAGAACUGAAACAUCUAAGUACCCCGAGGAAAAGAAAUCAACCGAGAUUUCGUUAGUAGCGGCGAGCGAACGCGAAGGAGCCUGUUAGUGAUAAUGACAGAGACAGAGGAACAAGCUGGGAAGCUUGGCGAUACAGGGUGAUAGCCCCGUACUCGAAGUCCAGGUCAUGGUACUAAGCUAACGACAAGUAGGGCGGGACACGUGAUAUCCUGUUUGAAGAUGGGGGGACCAUCCUCCAAGGCUAAAUACUCCUGAUUGACCGAUAGUGAACCAGUACUGUGAAGGAAAGGCGAAAAGAACCCCGGUGAGGGGAGUGAAAUAGAACCUGAAACCUUGUACGUACAAGCAGUGGGAGCCCUUUUGGGGUGACUGCGUACCUUUUGUAUAAUGGGUCAGCGACUUAUAUUUUGUAGCGAGGUUAACCGAAUAGGGGAGCCGAAGGGAAACCGAGUCUUAACUGGGCGUCUAGUUGCAAGGUAUAGACCCGAAACCCGGUGAUCUAGCCAUGGGCAGGUUGAAGGUUGGGUAACACUAACUGGAGGACCGAACCGACUAAUGUUGAAAAAUUAGCGGAUGACUUGUGGCUGGGGGUGAAAGGCCAAUCAAACCGGGAGAUAGCUGGUUCUCCCCGAAAUCUAUUUAGGUAGAGCCUUGAGCGGACACCUUCGGGGGUAGAGCACUGUUUCGGCUAGGGGUCCAUCCCGGAUUACCAACCCGAUGCAAACUACGAAUACCGAAGAGUGAUACUCAGGAGACACACGGCGGGUGCUAACGUCCGUCGUGGAGAGGGAAACAACCCAGACCGCCAGCUAAGGUCCCAAAGUCUAUAUUAAGUGGGAAACGAAGUGGGAAGGCUUAGACAGCUAGGAUGUUGGCUUAGAAGCAGCCAUCAUUUAAAGAAAGCGUAAUAGCUCACUAGUCGAGUCGGCCUGCGCGGAAGAUGUAACGGGGCUCAAAUAUAGCACCGAAGCUGCGGCAUCAGACGAAAGUCUGUUGGGUAGGGGAGCGUUCUGUAAGCGGAUGAAGAUGGCUCGAGAGGGCUGUUGGACGUAUCAGAAGUGCGAAUGCUGACAUAAGUAACGAUAAAACGGGUGAAAAACCCGUUCGCCGGAAGACCAAGGGUUCCUGUCCAACGUUAAUCGGGGCAGGGUGAGUCGGCCCCUAAGGCGAGGCUGAAAAGCGUAGUCGAUGGGAAACGGGUUAAUAUUCCCGUACUUGGAUAAACUGCGAUGUGGGGACGGAGCAGGUUAGGUUAUCGCACUGUUGGAUAUGUGCGUUUAAGUUGGUAGGUGUGAAGUUUAGGCAAAUCCGGACUUCUUUAACACUGAGAGAUGAUGACGAGGCUCUACGGAGCUGAAGUAACCGAUACCACACUUCCAGGAAAAGCCACUAAGCUUCAGGUUUAUCUAAACCGUACUGAAAACCGACACAGGUGGUCAGGUAGAGAAUACUCAGGCGCUUGAGAGAACUCGGGUGAAGGAACUAGGCAAAAUAGCACCGUAACUUCGGGAGAAGGUGCGCCGGCGUAGAUUGUAGUCCCUUGCGGGCGAAGGUUGAACCGGUCGAAGAUACCAGCUGGCUGCAACUGUUUAUUAAAAACACAGCACUCUGCAAACACGAAAGUGGACGUAUAGGGUGUGAUGCCUGCCCGGUGCUGGAAGGUUAAUUGAUGGUGUAAUCGAAAGAGAAGCUCCUGAUCGAAGCCCCAGUAAACGGCGGCCGUAACUAUAACGGUCCUAAGGUAGCGAAAUUCCUUGUCGGGUAAGUUCCGACCUGCACGAAUGGCGUAAUGAUGGCCAGGCUGUCUCCACCCGAGACUCAGUGAAAUUGAAAUCGCCGUGAAGAUGCGGUGUACCCGCGGCUAGACGGAAAGACCCCGUGAACCUUUACUAUAGCUUGACACUGAACAUUGAAUUUUGAUGUGUAGGAUAGGUGGGAGACUUAGAAGUAGUCACGCCAGUGAUUAUGGAGUCGUCCUUGAAAUACCACCCUUUAACGUUUGAUGUUCUAACGAAGAUUACGAAACGUGGUCUCGGACAGUGUCUGGUGGGUAGUUUGACUGGGGCGGUCUCCUCCCAAAGAGUAACGGAGGAGCACGAAGGUUAGCUAAUCCUGGUCGGACAUCAGGAGGU